rnacentral:rRNA from 1 species
CCUACGGGUGGCAGCAGUAGGGAAUUUUCGGCAAUGGGGGGAACCCUGACCGAGCAACGCCGCGUGAAGGAAGAAGGAAUUCGUUCUGUAAACUUCUGUUAUAAAGGAAGAAAGACGGAUGGAGGAAAUGACAUCCGAGUGACGGUACUUUAUGAGAAAGCCACGGCUAACUACGUUCCAGCAGCCGCGGUAAUACGUAGGUGGCAAGCGUUAUCCGGAAUUAUGGGGCGUAAGGAGGGAGCGUGGGGCAGCAAAGGUCUGGGGUGACAGACUGAAGCUUAACUUCAGUAAGCCAUAGAAACCGGGCAGGUAGAGUGGAGGAGAGGAUCGUGGAAUUCCAUGUGUAGCGGUGAAAUGCGUAGAUAUAUGGAGGAACACCAGUGGCGAAGGCGACGAUCUGGCCUGCAACGGACGCUCAGUACCGAAAGCGUGGGGAGGAAAUAGGAUUAGAUACCCUGUAGUC